rnacentral:rRNA from 1 species
UUUUGGACAAUGGGCGCAAGCCUGAUCCAGCCAUUCCGCGUGAGUGAAGAAGGCCUUCGGGUUGUAAAGCUCUUUCGCAAGGGAAGAAAACUUACUUUUUAAUAAAGAGUGAGGUUGACGGUACCUUGAUAAGAAGCACCGGCUAACUACGUGCCAGCAGCCGCGGUAAUACGUAGGGUGCGAGCGUUAAUCGGAAUUACUGGGCGUAGAGCGUGCGCAGGCGGCUUUGUAAGUCAGAUGUGAAAUCCCCGAGCUCAACUUGGGAACUGCGUUUGAAACUACAAGGCUAGAAUAUGUCAGAGGGGGGUAGAAUUCCACGUGUAGCGGUGAAAUGCGUAGAGAUCGGAAGGAACACCAGUGGCGAAGGCGGCUACCUGCCUAAUACGACACUGAGGCACGAAG